GACGAACGCUGGCGGCGUGCCUAACACAUGCAAGUCGAACGGAAAGGCCCUGCUUUCGUGGGGUGCUCGAGUGGGGAACGGGUGAGUAACACGUGAGUAACCUGCCCUUGACUUUGGGAUAACUUCAGGAAACUGGGGCUACUACCGGAUAGGAGCUCCUGCUGCAUGGUGGGGGUUGGAACGUUUCGGCGGGUGGGGAUGGACGCGCGGCUUACGAGCUUGUUGGUGGGGGAGUGGCUUACCAAGGCUUUGACGGGUAGCCGGCCUGAGAGGGUGACCGGGCACAUUGGGACUAAGAGACGGACCAGACUGCAACGGGAGGCAGCAGGGGGGAAUAUUGCACAAUGGGCGGAAGCCUGAGGCAGCAACGCCGCGUGCGGGAUGACGGCCUUCGGGUUGUAAACCGCUGUCGCCUGUGACGAAGCGUGAGUGACGGUAAUGGGUGAAGAAGCACCGGCUAACUACGUG
rnacentral:rRNA from 1 species